AAUUAAAUCAUCUUGAAGUUUUUCUCGGCUGAUUGGGUCUAAUGCACUAAACGGUUCAUCCAUUAAAAUAACUGGU
rnacentral:sRNA from 1 species